GGGGGGGGCUAAUGAAAUAGGUGUUUUUUUUGUGUGUUGAAUAUGGUACAACACACUGAGGCCAUGACUAUAAAGGUGAAAGUAGCCCAUGAUCUGACAGACUAGGGUUUGAACAUUUCAGUCUCCGGUCAUGCCACCAGAAUCAAUCUUGAAUUUGACAAGUUCAACAACCAUCUUUCAGAAAUUCCUUGAAUGUGUCAGGGAUCCAUCUUCCCAUGACAACAGUUAUCUGCGGGCUAGAUAGUUACCUGGCAGACUUCCUUCUCUAGUCCUAGGUAUUUCUGGAUACCCGAGCUAGAAACCCAGGUAGUGACACUAUGGAAAGCUAAAACUUUCCAAUCUACCAUAAUGUUAAUGCUAUCUAGCUUUAUUUGUGAGGGAGAAAUGAUCACCAGCUUUGUUUUUUUUUAGACAAUUUGUAAAUACCGGUAACAGUAAUAUCUGGCUUUUCAACCAAUUCUUCAGUGUCACAGAAAUGAGUAAUUCAUUAUAGCUUUCGCUGCUUUCUGAAGAUUUGAUUUGUCUUUUCUAGAUCCAGCACAUUAAAACAUGAUUGAUCAUGUUACUGAUAGGUAUGUACAGGAUCAUUGGUCAGAAGACAGAAAACAUAAGUUACAGACAAGUAAUUAUUAGAUACCCAGAAUUAUACUAACCACGGUAACUAGUGACUGUUUUGAUGAUAUGUGAUAGUGAUGUUUUCUUCUAUAUAUCAAUCAUUCCUCAGGGUCCGCUGGUGUUCUUUGUCUGUAUGCAAUAUACCAUCAGCAAUAACGACACUUCAUCAGCUUACUCAUUGGCUCGGUUUAGACAGGUUUCCCUGUGGUUUCUUGUUUAGACAGGUCUCCCUGUGGUUUCCGGUUUAGACAGGAUUCCCUGUGUUUUCCUUUUUAGACGGAUCUCCCGUGUUUAGACAGGUCUCCCUGUGAUGUCUUUUUUAGACAGGUUUCACUGGAUUCUUGUUUAGACAGGUCUCCCUGUGGUUUCUUGUUUAGACAGGUCUCCCUGUGGUUACCAGUUUAGACAGGUUUCAAUGUGGUUUCCGGAUUAGACAGGUCUCCCUGUGGUUUCUUGUUUUUACAGGUUUCAAUGUGGUUUCUUGUUUAGACAGGUCUCCCUGUGGUUUCUUCUUUAGACAGGUCUCCCUGUGGUUUCUUGUUUAGACAGGUUUCCCUGUGGUUUCUUUUUAAGACAGGUUUCCCUGUGGUUUCUUGUUUAGACAGGUCUCCCUGUGGUUCCUUGUUUAUACAGCUUUCCCUGUGGUUUCUUGUUUAGACAGGUUUUUCUGUGGUGUCUCAUUUAGACAGGUUUCCCUGCAGUUUUCAGUUAAAAGAUAAGUUUCAUUUAUAUCUACAAACUGUCUGACGAUCUUGUUCAGUUACAUAUGAUGAUAACCACAAGUUUACAGUCUUUGGAUUUUUUAAAACAUUGGAAGUUAAAUCUUAUGAAGGUGUAAGAAUAGAAGCAAGUUGUACAUUACCCAGGUACUGAUUUAUGUGUAGGUAUACAUGUACUGUGGUUUAUGGACAUAGAAACAAUUCUAUUUGCCCUACAGAUAUGUAUAUGGUUAUAUAAAUUUAAGUUAGAAGUAUUUAACUAUCAGUACUGGGGAGCUCUGUGAUUGUAUUAAAUUCUUUACUCAAAUCACUGAAAAUAACUGGGUUUUAUUAGUGAUUGUACUUCAAGUACCUGUUUGUUGUAGAUUUGAAUAUGAAGAAACACAGAGUGAGAUGUUAUUUAUUCAGAUGUACAAUUGCCUCUAAUGAAGUUUAGGUGAUCAGAAAUGUUACUCUUUUUUAUUUUUUCAAGAAAAGUCAUCUAGAAUCUCUAAAAUAUCUUUUGUUGCCAUUCUUUGUGAUUUUGUAGCCAGCAUGAGUGCUGUUACUGAGGUGUGAUAGAGUCAUGUGUAUCAUAAUAUUCUAUAUAUUUUACUUUUAUCUCCUAUGGUUUAGGGCCGCUAUUCCCAAUAUAGAACAAUUCUGACAAUCAUUUAUUUCACUUUUGCCUUUCACCAAAUGUCUUACAAACAAAAUUGUUUCCAGCUAUUUAUGGUUUGAAGAAAUUGAAGUGUUUUUACCCUGUUAAGUAUGGGUUUGUCACAACUGUCUGGGCCAACUUGUGUCAGAACUUAAAUAAAUACAUUAAAACCAAGGUUAUAAGAUCAUGGUAAGUUAUAAUGCUCUAAAACAGAGGCUCAAAGAUAGCUGUAAGUCAAAGUAUGUCAAAGAUUGAAAUUAUCUUGUAUGUGAAACAUUUGGUGAUUUGGUAAAAGGAUAUCAAAAGCAUGCAUGAAACUAGCUCAUCAUUGAUCUUCCCAUUGGGAUGAAUUGUCUGUGUCUUUUGAUCUCUCGCAUACCAGGUCUAGAGUGUGACAAAAUAUUUAAGGAAAUGAUGCCAAUAUUCCCAUAAAAAUUAUAUUAUAUUUCAUAGUUUUAAUUUUGCAAAUAGUAAUUAUUGCAGAGAUAUGAUUCCAAAUCGUUAUAUUUGUUAAUGUGUGUGAGUGAAUGAAAGUACUGAUCCCUGUAUACAUCGGUUUAGCAGAAUGAAAAUAAUUCAUGUAGCACAAGUUUGAAAAUAUGGAACUUAUAUCUAAAAGCUGAAAUAUUUAUGGCUCAAAAUGGUCUUUUGAAGGCAGGGAACAAUAUUUUCAUUUUGUCUUGUUUUUUAGCAAUCAGUAAGCUUACCAGUCUUUAACUCAUUUACUGCUGAAGACAUUUUUGAACUGUUCCAAUUCAAAGGCUGGAAUAGUUCAUUAUUAAAUUUUAGGGGUGACUUAGUUAAACAACAUUGUAAAAAAACUCAUUUACCUUAAUGAUUCGUUAAUAAGAUUUUGUUAUCUGGUUAAUUAUAUAGCAUUUCAAAAUAUACCUUUAUUUCUGUGUUGGUUUUCUCUAGAGGACCAUUUAGCAUGUUCAGAAUUGCAAUUUUGUUAUUAAAUUCAAAAUCAGUUUUUGAAUUAUUAAAGAUUUAAAUUUUGCAUUAGUUUGCCAUUAAGCUUAUUAUGCUUAAAAAACCAGUCUGGACAAAGUUAGUUUAACAUGUUACACAUCAACAUCAACUUUACUCUAAAAGAUUUACAAAAUACAUUGAAAUUUAGAAUUAGAUUGAAUGUGGAGGGGUUUAGGAUAAUUAUCUUCAGGCAAAAAUAACAAAAAUAUUAACAAAUUUCUAGACACUUAUCCAAAAAUCUGAUUUUGAAAAUGUCCAUCAGGGACUUGUUACAUUCUUGAGGCCCUGAACUACUAGAGUGUGUAGCUAAGGUUUGAAGCUAGACAUACCUAUAACCUGUUUCUACCAGAACAAAAUCUACAUUCUAAUAGUAAAUUCUGCAAAUCUUUCAUUGAAUGUUCUUAUAAGAUGAUGUGGAAUUUAUUCUCUCAAGUGAUGAAGACAGCAUGUGUUUUAUUAAAUGUAGGAUUGAUUAAAACCAACAUGUGCUAAUUAUUAUCUCUCUGAACAAGUCAUAUUAUCCCUAUGCAAAUAUGAUAUAUGCUUCAUUGUUAUGUAGGUCAUACAUAUGGUGUCAUUUGUGUUUUAUGCUUCAUUAAGUGCUGUCCAUCUCUAGUGUGUUAGUGACUGUUGUGUUGUUCCACUUUGUGUACGGCUAAGGCCGCAGAACACUGCAUUAUUUUUACACAAUAAAUAUUUCCGUAAAAUUGAA
rnacentral:lncRNA from 1 species